rnacentral:tRNA from 1 species
GUUUGUGGUUUCGUGGUGUAGUGGUUAUCACGUUUCGUUUACACCGAAAAGGCCGCGAGUUCGUAAGUCAAAAUCGCACAAAACA